CGCGACUGAUUCCACAUGGCGAGCUACGGUGAUAGCCACGAUUCAGCUCCACUACCCCUCGUAAUAAAUUCUCCCUGACUAUGGGCGGCCCACGACCAGACGGUUACAGACGUCGCCAUCAAUCCGUUACCUCCUCCGCCUAUAAAAAAGGGGAGAUCUAGAUACGUUAUUCUCUAAGCUCAUUUCUUAUCUCAAAACUCUGCUAAAUUCUUCGUUCGAGCACUCCAUUCUUGUGGAGGC
rnacentral:lncRNA from 1 species